UACGGCUGGGACACCGCCGGUCUGUCGGCUGACCCGGAGACCUUCAAGCGCUACCGCGAGCUGGAGCUGAUCCACGCCCGCUGGGCUAUGCUGGGCGCUCUGGGCUGCAUCACCCCCGAGCUGCUGGCCAAGAGCGGCACCCAGUUCGGCGAGGCUGUCUGGUUCAAGGCCGGCGCCCAGAUCUUCUCUGAGGGCGGCCUGGACUACCUGGGCAACCCCUCCCUGGUGCACGCCCAGAACAUCGUCGCCACCCUGGCCGUUCAGGUGAGGGGCUAUGGCAGGCGGAUGUGUGAAAGCCGGGUAUGCGAAGAAAGCUAUAUGCGCGAUGCUGUGGGAAGGGUGCAUGAUCUUGGUUGUGCACACAGCGCUCCAGCGUUGCCAGCGGGAGCCACCCAGCCAAAAGCACCGGCGCUACACGUCCUUGUACUCCCUACUUUCACCGCACUAACCGCACCCCUCUGCUUGCCCUGCUCCAUAGGUUAUCCUGAUGGGCCUGGUGGAGGGCUACCGUGUCAACGGCGGCCCCGCCGGCGAGGGCCUGGACCCCCUGUACCCCGGCGAGUCGUUCGACCCCCUGGGCCUGGCUGACGACCCCGACACCUUCGCUGAGCUGAAGGUGAAGGAGAUCAAGAACGGCCGCCUGGCCAUGUUCUCCAUGUUCGGCUUCUUCGUCCAGGCCAUCGUGACCGGCAAGGGCCCCAUCCAGAACCUGGACGACCACCUGUCCAACCCCACCGUGAACAACGCGUUCGCCUUCGCCACCAAGUUCACCCCCUCCGCGUAAAUUCUGUUCUCAUGACUUCAAUCAGUCAGUGAGCGGCAUUUGUUGCGUCUUUUUGAAAGCGUAAGAGCGGACGAAGUGUAUGAGGAGCAAGCGAGAUCGCGUCGCGUCGUGAUGGAGUUGAUGGUGUGAUGCAGGCGGAUGGAGGCGGAGAAUGAUGUGUGCCGUGUGUCGUUUACCUAGAGAAGACAAUUUUUAAACCGCAGCGUUUGUGGUUUACGCGGUCCCGUGGUGCGCGCAAAUGCGUAUGCCCCCCGUGUAAU
rnacentral:lncRNA from 1 species